GAUGAACGCUGGCGGCGUGCCUAAUACAUGCAAGUCGAGCGAACAGACGAGGAGCUUGCUCCUCUGACGUUAGCGGCGGACGGGUGGGUAACACGUGGAUAACCUACCUAUAAGACUGGGAUAACUUCGGGAAACCGGAGCUAAUACCGGAUAAUAUAUUGAACCGCAUGGUUCAAUAGUGAAAGACGGUUUUGCUGUCACUUAUAGAUGGAUCCGUGCCGCAUUAGCUAGUUGGUAAGGUAACGGCUUACCAAGGCAACGAUGCGUAGCCGACCUGAGAGGGUGAUCGGCCACACUGGAACUGAGACACGGUCCAGACUCCUACGGGAGGCAGCAGUAGGGAAUCUUCCGCAAUGGGCGAAAGCCUGACGGAGCAACGCCGCGUGAGUGAUGAAGGUCUUCGGAUCGUAAAACUCUGUUAUUAGGGAAGAACAAAUGUGUAAGUAACUAUGCACGUCUUGACGGUACCUAAUCAGAAAGCCACGGCUAACUACGUG
rnacentral:rRNA from 1 species